UACAGAGGUCUCAAGCGUUGCUCGGAAUCACUGGGCUUAAAGGGUGCGUAGGCGGCGCAGAAAGUAGGGUGUGAAAUCCCUCGGCUCAACCGAGGAACUGCGCCCUAAACUACUGUGCUCGAGGGAGAUAGAGGUGAGCGGAACUUAGGGUGGAGCGGUGAAAUGCGUUGAUAUCCUAAGGAACACCGGUGGCGAAAGCGGCUCACUGGAUCUCUUCUGACGCUGAGGCACGAAAGCUAGGGUAGCGAACGGG
rnacentral:rRNA from 1 species